rnacentral:tRNA from 1 species
AAACAGUUAGCUCAUUGGUAGAGCGCCACAUUUCCGUGGAGGUAAUCAGUUCGAAUCUGAUACUGAUUCUCUU